UGCUUCCCACAGCCCCGAUAGAAGCGGAAAUCCUUCUGCGCCGGGGUUCGGCGCAGAAGAUUAGAGCGGAUAGCGGGAAAAAGC
rnacentral:ncRNA from 1 species